rnacentral:rRNA from 1 species
AUGCGUCUGCAAGAAGAGGAAAGACUUAGAAUCUCAUAUGGUGGUUCUAUGAACUAUGUGAAGGAUAAUAAGAAAAAGAACUACAAUCAAAGUGGCAAAGGUUCCCCUUCAAAGCCACAUGGAAAAGCUCACACGCACUAUCAGCAUCAGCAAAAGUCUCGUCCAGUGGACAAAGAUACAUGUCUCCAUUGUAAGCAAACUGGGCACUACAAGAAAGAUUGCCCUAUUUGGCUAAAUUCAAUAAUGGCAAAGAGAUGUGACAACAUUGUUUCCUUUGUAAAUGAAUCCUUGUAUACACAGUUUUUGAAAUCUACUUGGUGGAUUGACUCAGGUGCAACCGUUCAUCUUGCCAAUUCAUUACAGGGAUUCCAUUCGACGCGGACUAGCAAAGAAGCGAAAGAUGCAUUGAAGUUGCAAAUGGAGUUCAAGCAGAAGUUGAAGCUGUCGGCGACAUCUCCCUGGAGUUAG